rnacentral:lncRNA from 1 species
GUGUGAGCGGGGAGGGUGGGCGGCAACCCCGCCAAUAUGCCAAAGGGCAGGGUCAGGGGGUCUCCGCUUGGCCCCGCCCUCCAGUCCUGGCGUCUGAUGGCGGCCUUGCCCCGCGCUCCUGAUGCCUUCCACCCUCCCAGGGUCUCGAAUCUGGCCGCCUCCAGCCGCCCCCACCCAUUGCCAGGCCCACCGUGUUCCACAGCCCGUGAGUGUGACUGGGAUGAUUCUCUGUGAAGCCCGGAUCCUGCCCCCUUCCCUCCGCCCCACACGGAGUAACAAGGGAGAGGUGGGCAGAGCUGAGCCCAGUGCCCAGAAACGUGGAGUUGGCCAGGGGUGCCAUGCUUCUGGAGGUGGGGAGGGCCCAAAGUAACAGUCUUCCCCCUGUCACUCGACAGGUGUGGCCCGCUGGGAGGGAAUCUUGCCCAGGCACUCCUGUUCUCCAGGGCCGCCUAUGGUUGCAGCCCUCAGUGCCUGCUGCCUGCCUUUUCCCUGGAGGUCAAGGUGUGGUCAGCCUUCUCUCGCUGGUGGGAAGCCACUGCCUUUCCUGCCACACGUUCCUCACCAAGAGGAUCUCCCAGCUCCUGGGUGAUGCUGCCCAGACCUCCUCAAUACCCAGCACCACCACCCACUUUGGCCAGACUUUGCCGAGGCUUGUCUGUCUUUGGCUCCAGGAUGGCCCGCCAUCCAGUUGGAGCCACAGAUGAAAAGCAAUGCCAGUGUCCAGCUGCCCCAUGUGCCCAGAACCAGCAGCUCUGGAACCCCAGCCCCCGAGUACAUUCUUGCAGUGGGAUCAUUUCGGGGGAGGGGGGUGGCACUUUGGUUGGCAUUUUCCAAGGCCCUCUCCUGCACCCUUUUCCUUUGGGUCACUGGUCUUUUCUUAUUGACUGGUUCAACUUCUCUAUACAUUAAUGAUAUGAGCCCUGAGUCACAUCUUGGUACUAUUUUUUGGCCCAUUUUGUCACUUGUCUCUUGACUUUGUGGUUUGGGGUUUGCGUUUGACUAGGCAGAUGAUCUUAGAGUUUGUGUCAUCAGACUUUCCAGGGUCUUCCUAUUGGUUUCUGGGGUUUCUUGUCGGUUUGUUUGCUGCCAAUUGACUUACGGUGAUCUUCUCUAUUUAAAGUCAUUGUGUAUAAAUUACCCAUUGCUGAAUAACAAGGGUAAAAACCUGCCUGUCAACACAGGAGACAGAAGAGAUGUGGGUUGCGAAGAUCCCCUGGAGAAGGAAAUGGCAACCCACUCUAGUACUCUUGCCUGGAGAAUCCCAUGGACAGAGGAGCCUGGCAGGCUACAGUCCAUGGGGUCGCAAGGAGUCGGACACGACUGAGGUGACUUAGCAUGCAACCAUGUGUAGCAAAUUACCCCAGAUGUAGUGUAGUCCCUUAAAACAACCAGCACUGGUAAUCUCCCAGGUGUCUGAAGGACAGAAUUCUAGAAGGCCUGGCUGGGGCUUCUGGCCUGGGGUCCAUCACAG